CACACAUUAAGACCAAGCAGAGUUUAACUUAGUAGAGACAUUUGAAAAAAAUCAAAGAUUUUAUUUGCUUAAAAUCAAAAUCACUUGUAAAAAUUGUUGGGGAAACAGUAUAUUCCCAUAGUAUAAAAGGGUUAAUGAAUAGAUUAUUUGUAUAGUUCAGAUGGAAGACAUGCCUUUGUAUUGAUUUGAGAGGACUAGUUUGCAUCACAUUAACCAAGUAUAUUCGUCUUUUUGUUGCUUUAACAAAAUACUUGAGGCUAAGUAUUUUGAAAAGAAAAUAAGGUCUAUUUGGCUCAGUUUUGGAAACAGGAAAUUCAAGAUCAGGUGGCUCCAUCUGUUCAUUCUGUGGCAAAGUCUCCUUGACUGCCUCAUAAAAUGUGGAGAAACCAAAGGAACUGGCUAUAUUCAGAAAGGGUCAAGUGAAUAGGGUGGCUUUGUUUUAUAACCUUCAGGGAACUACAUUAAUGCCUUCCAAGGAUGAUGUCCACAGUAACCUAACUAUCUUUUAAAGCUUUCAGCACCACCACACUACCAGCCUGGAGCCAAGCUGCCAGGACAUGACUCUGGGGGACAAAAUAUAUCCAAAUUAUACCACUAAGGGAUCCAGUUGAGUCUCACUAAAAUUGGGAUAAAUGGGCAAAAUAAGUGCCCCAUGAUGGGAUGUGCUAGCAUCACCUAUUAGACCUUCUUAUAAAUAUUUAUUAAUCUGUGCAUAAUGGAUUUAUUGGAUCAAAUUUUAUUUUACCAGAAAUACUAAGAAUAGAGAAAAAAGUUAAAUGAAGCAAUGAAGUUAAAGACACAUUCUUAAUGUGGUAUUUUAAACAAAGUAACUGGCCUAGUAUUAAAAAUUGUCAUGUAUUUACACUUCUUGGUAGAAUCUCAGAUCUUGGAAGGGCAAUGAUCCCAUCUCAACAACUUUUUAAAAGGAACUUUUAAGGGGCUGGGGAUAUAGCUCAGUUGGUAGAGUGCUUGCCUUGCAUGCACAAGGCCCUGGUUCAAUCCCCAGCACCACACACACACACACACACAUAAUAAAUAAUAAUAAUAAUAAUAGAAAUAAUAAUAAAAGAAAUAAAAAUUUAAAAAGACACACAACAAAAAAGGAAAUUUUAAAAAGAAAUUUUUUAAAGAAAAAUGAUCUGUGAAAAUAGUAUCAGAACAAUUGAAAUUGUGGAUAGGGUGAUCUUGGCAAUAGCCAUUUUCUACUCUGUAGGUGUCUUUCACUGAUUCUAAUCAUGGGAAGUGGGGUUUAUCUCACACAAAAGGAUUGCAUUGUGAAAUAGAACACAAGUAGGCAUUUAACACUUGCCUGAACUAGAGCAACAGAUUGGAAAAUUGAAAUGCCUCACAUAAAAUUUAUACCAGUUGCUGAUAUGACAAGCACAUCAAAAGUAGUGUUUUUUGAGUAUUUGGACAGCACACUUUGUAAAUAAAAUAUAAUUAAGAUAAAUAGAACUUGCAUCUAACAAUUUCAAAAUGGACAUUCAUUUCAUGUGCAUAUGGAAAAUUUACCAACACAGGAAAUAAUGUUCAGUCAAAAAGCAAGUGUCAUGAUUUUUCCCUAAGAGCUUUUUAAAUUGUGGACCUGAAAGAUCAGAUUCGGGAGUUAAACAGUGGGCCUGUUAAAUAAAACUGGAAAUACAUACAAUUAACUAAUUAUGUGUACUAAAGAGAAUAAUGAAGGAUAAGAAAGCAUAAGGAUAAUAUAAAAUAUGCAAAGUGAAGUACGAAGAGAAAAGAAAUAGAAAUAAACAGAACAAUCUAAGAAACACGGACUGCAGUGACACAUGUGUAAUUACAGUUCCAAUUAGUAAAGAGGAUAGUGAAGGAAAAAGAAACAAUAUUUAAUAAGAUGAAGGUUAAAUAUUUUCUUCAAAUAAUGACAAUAUCAAAUAAGAUAAAUUUAAGAAUUUUUAUCUCUAAGAAAGAAAAUCCACAUGUAUGAACAACCUAGAUUGCUGAAAACAGUAAUGAGAAAAAAAGCAGAUGGAUAAAAGAUACAUUAUAAUCAAAGAGAAACAAAAAAUUUCAGCUGAUUUUGCAAUAGAGUAAAUGAAAGGAAAAGAAAAUGGUGUAGGAUUUUUUUUUUUGUAAAAAGUUUAUGUUGAAAUGUACAGGUCUUAUAUUUCCACUAUUUGAAAAACAUAUACACUCAUGAAACCCAACCCCCUAAAAAAACAUUUUUUUCA
rnacentral:lncRNA from 1 species